AACAGACACCUCACCAUGGAGUUUGUGUUUGGCUGGGUGUUCCUGGUUGCUCUUUUAAAAGGUGUCCAGUGGGACGUGCAGCUGGUGGAGUCUGGGGGAGACCUGGUGCAGCCUGGGGGGUCCCUGAGACUCACCUGUGUAGCCUCUCGAUUCACCUUCAGUAGCUAUGGAAUGAGCUGGGUUCGCCAGGCUCCAGGAAAGGGGCUGCAGUGGGUCUCAGAAAUUAGUAGUGGAGGUAGCACAUACUAG